GAGAGAGAGAGAGAGAGAGAGAGAGAGAGAGAGAGAGAGAGAGAGAGAGAGAGAGAGAGAAAGAGAGAGUGAUUAUAAUAUUUAAGGUGCUUCCCUCGUGAUUAUACUAUGGUGUCUGUACAUUUUGCAGCGAGUCAGUGAGUUUUGCUAGAUAGCUUAAAAAUCGUUGUAAAUACGUCUUCUGCGUCUCUAUCGACAACAUAUUCGGCCCCAUAAUCGGUUGAUCGAGCUCACGGUUAAUUUA